rnacentral:rRNA from 1 species
UAGGGAAUCUUCCACAAUGGACGCAAGGCUGAUGGAGCAACGCCGCGUGAGUGAAGAAGGUUUUCGGAUCGUAAAGCUCUGUUGUUGGUGAAGAAGGAUAGAGGUAGUAACUGGCCUUUAUUUGACGGUAAUCAACCAGAAAGUCACGGCUAACUACGUGCCAGCAGCCGCGGUAGUACGUAGGUGGCAAGCGUUGUCCGGAUUUAUUGGGCGUAAAGCGAGCGCAGGCGGAAGAAUAAGUCUGAUGUGAAAGCCCUCGGCUUAACCGAGGAACUGCAUCGGAAACUGUUUUUCUUGAGUGCAGAAGAGGAGAGUGGAAUUCCAUGUGUAGCGGUGGAAUGCGUAGAUAUAUGGAAGAACACCAGUGGCGAAGGCGACUCUCUGGUCUGCAACUGACGCUGAGGCUCGAAAGCAUGGGUAGCGAACAGG